GCACAUGGUGACUGUUCUGUUGGUUCAUCAUCAAUGGAAAAGAAGGAUUCAAGGUCAUCUUCUUCUCUGAUCUUAAUUCUUGAUUCUUACUGGAUUUACUGGAUCAUCUUAGACCCCUUUUUUGUUGUUUGGGCAAUUUUUUACAAAAUGACCAUUUUGAUUACAGAUGUAACACCUAUUUGAUUUGGUUCCCCUUGGAGAUAUCUUUUUCUUUAAAUAUCUCUAUUUUUUUUCCUUUUGAAAGAUCUUGGAAGAUUAAGGUUUUUGAAUCUCCUGAAAUGUUUUUUUUCUUUUUUAUCCUACAAUAGUAAUGCUUUUCAUGUCCACAUUUGAUUCGUAGGUAAGAAUCAUAACAGGCUUUGUCCAACCGCUUGUCACCAUGGAGAUAGUAUUUGAAAACCUUUUUCCUGUUGCAUAAGUCUUCAAGAGUAACAUAAGUUUCUUGUUGGAUUUCUCCCAUUGUCAGGCUGAGGAUGUUUCUGUUUUGCCUGUGGAGACUUUGAUUGAUAGCAACUUAAAGAGGCUCUGGUAUGGAUGCGAGAACUGCAGGUUUAAGACUUUUCUUUAGAUCAAGUGAACAAAAAAGUUUGGUCAUAGCGUGGAAAUGCUUAGAUAAGACUUUCUUGUUGUAAGAGUAGUAUUUUCGUUUCAAGAAUUCACUUCUUUU
rnacentral:lncRNA from 1 species